CAAUCAUCCAAAAUUUCAAUUUCCGGCACUUUGAUUUUAAAAUUGGAAUGCGUCGUUUAUCGUUACAGGUUUAAUUAGUAUAUUCAAUAUAAUUCUCACAGGUAUAAAUUUAUUAAAAUAAAUAAUUAGCUUAAAAUUUUAAAUUAAAAUAGUAUUGACUAAUUCAAAUUAGAUAAAAUUAAUUUUUUUUAAAAAAUUAAAUAGUCAAUUCAAAUUGAUCCAUAGUUCAAAUAAAUUUUGUAUAU
rnacentral:lncRNA from 1 species